rnacentral:lncRNA from 1 species
AGAAAUAGUACUAAAUAUUAAAAGUAAAUUUCCAGUACUACAUAAUUUUAGUACAGAAAUAGUACCUAUGCAAAAGUAGCUGUGUAUAUGAGUAUAAAAUGAGGCAUAUAUAGCUGAGUUGUUUAUUUGUUAGUUUUGUAGUGUCAUCUUUUUCUUUUUCCUGUUGCAUAUAAAUGAUCAUGUAAAUUAGGAUAUGCACAACUCAGAUAAAAAAAACUUUAUUUUAUGUGAAACUUUUUUGAUUUCAUCUUUAGGUUAUAACUUUUUUUUUUCAAAUACCAACAAAAUGGCAUUUUGAGAGUUUAAAAAAAUUGCGGUAUAAGGGGAGGUAACUCAAAAUAUUUAAGCAGCAAAAAAAGAAGUAUGUUUUAUUUUUAUUUUCUGAAAGCAUAUGAAUAAUGAUGUCCCACUUCCACUUGAAUUAAUAGAACCCCCCCUCCCCCCACUGCCAUUGUGUGUUAUUGAGAAACAUACAAAUUAUUAUUGAUGCCAAUAUAAUGGUAUGAUUUCAGCAUUAUAUAUUUUUCAAAACUCUAUUCAAUUAUCUCCCUUUAAAAAUAAAUCUGUUUUGCAGGUUACAUAUCAGGAUGAUCUUACCCAGAUGAUAGCAUAUGUACUUCUGAUAGGAUAAUACCACUUUUUUCAAAUUUUUUUUUGACACCUAGUUUGUAGAAAAAUGUUUGUAUGGCAAUGUCUGUGUUAAUGUGAUAUUAAUUCAGUAUUAAUAUAUACUUAUCUAAUUCUGUAUGAAAUCGUUUUUUGUUAAAUAUUUGUGAUAACUUUUCACAGUACAUGUACUUGAAGUUAAUCUAGGUUGCAUUGCUCAUAGAAACACAUAGAAGCAUAAUGAAACAUUUUGAAUACCAGUGAGGUUGUAUACUGUUGUAUAGUUAAAUACCGUUGUAUAGUAUUUUAGUUUCAAUUUUGUCCUUGUUAUGUUUGUAAGCAGAUGCUUAUUAAUAAUUUGUUAAUUUGUUCUUGUAAUUGAUGUCAAUGUAGA